CAGCAGCCGCGGUAAUACGAAGGGUGCAAGCGUUAAUCGGAAUUACUGGGCGUAAAGCGUGCGCAGGCGGUUCGUUAAGUCUGUUGUGAAAGCCCCGGGCUCAACCUGGGAAUGGCAAUGGAUACUGGCGAGCUAGAGUGUGUCAGAGGAUGGUGGAAUUCCCGGUGUAGCGGUGAAAUGCGUAGAGAUCGGGAGGAACAUCUGUGGCGAAGGCGACUAUCUGGGCCAACACUGACACUGAGGCACGAAAGCGUGGGGAGCAAACAGGAUUAGAUACCCCUGUAGUCCCUGUCUCUUAUAC
rnacentral:rRNA from 1 species